rnacentral:rRNA from 1 species
GCUAUACAUGCAGUCGAGCGGACAGAAGGGAGCUUGCUCCCGGAUGUUAGCGGCGGACGGGUGAGUAACACGUGGGUAACCUGCCUGUAAGACUGGGAUAACUCCGGGAAACCGGAGCUAAUACCGGAUAGUUCCUUGAACCGCAUGGUUCAAGGAUGAAAGACGGUUUCGGCUGUCACUUACAGAUGGACCCGCGGCGCAUUAGCUAGUUGGUGGGGUAAUGGCUCACCAAGGCGACGAUGCGUAGCCGACCUGAGAGGGUGAUCGGCCACACUGGGACUGAGACACGGCCCAGACUCCUACGGGAGGCAGCAGUAGGGAAUCUUCCGCAAUGGACGAAAGUCUGACGGAGCAACGCCGCGUGAGUGAUGAAGGUUUUCGGAUCGUAAAGCUCUGUUGUUAGGGAAGAACAAGUGCGAGAGUAACUGCUCGCACCUUGACGGUACCUAACCAGAAAGCCACGGCUAACUACGUGCCAGCAGCCGCGGUAAUACGUAGGUGGCAAGCGUUGUCCGGAAUUAUUGGGCGUAAAGGGCUCGCAGGCGGUUUCUUAAGUCUGAUGUGAAAGCCCCCGGCUCAACCGGGGAGGGUCAUUGGAAACUGGGAAACUUGAGUGCAGAAGAGGAGAGUGGAAUUCCACGUGUAGCGGUGAAAUGCGUAGAGAUGUGGAGGAACACCAGUGGCGAAGGCGACUCUCUGGUCUGUAACUGACGCUGAGGAGCGAAAGCGUGGGGAGCGAACAGGAUUAGAUACCCUGGUAGUCCACGCCGUAAACGAUGAGUGCUAAGUGUUAGGGGGUUUCCGCCCCUUAGUGCUGCAGCUAACGCAUUAAGCACUCCGCCUGGGGAGUACGGUCGCAAGACUGAAACUCAAAGGAAUUGACGGGGGCCCGCACAAGCGGUGGAGCAUGUGGUUUAAUUCGAAGCAACGCGAAGAACCUUACCAGGUCUUGACAUCCUCUGACAACCCUAGAGAUAGGGCUUUCCCUUCGGGGACAGAGUGACAGGUGGUGCAUGGUUGUCGUCAGCUCGUGUCGUG